GUGUCAACUUCAGGCAUACAUAUACUAAAGUUGGAACUAUACAGAGACCAGUAGAGUGCUUGCUCAGAGAAGAAAUGUGAAUUUGUGAAGCAUUCCACACUUUA
rnacentral:snRNA from 1 species